AAAUUUAUUACUGCAAAGCUUUCGAUCCGUAAGCCCGGAUCUUCAUCAGUGCUAAUAAUAUGUGACUUGUUUAAUUCACACCACAGAAUAGGAAGUUAUACCAGAAGCGUAACUGGAGCAAAUAUUUUUCCGCGUUUUUACAAGCGAUUCGUCAUCAAUCACGCCAUCCUGGCUAGUACAACCGGCACUUUGUACCUACCAAAUCCUGAUAAAAACUUCCGGCUGUACUGGCCAGGAUGACGUGGCCUGACGUGAGCGAGUUAAAAUUUUCGUGGACGUCAAACAAUAAG